CCCGUCGGUAAUCCGUUGAAAACUUUAGAAAGACCACUUAAAAAAAUCCCUAUCAUCUCAUCUUCACUUUUCUCAAAACCAGCCGCCACCCUCUUUCUCCCUUCUCUCGUGCAAACAACCCCCUUCCCUUCCCUCCAUCCAUCAUCGACCCCAAUGCUGCUCCGACCGAAGACAAUUGUGAUGUCGCCAACGGUAUACAUCUUAAGCAACGACUGGUGAUGUGAUUUGGGCUUUAGUGGCAAAGAUUUGACACCUGCAACAACUCUUCGUGCAUCACCAUGGCGAGCCACCGUGCCUCAUCGUUGUUUCUCAUUCUUGCCGGCAACCUUUGAGUUCCUCCAAGAUUAAGGCCAUAAGAUCUCUUCUUUUGCGGCAUUAAUCAUGGGUGGUAGCUCAUUUUGUGAUGCUCAUUUAUCCCUGUAGCAGUUGCGAUGCGAUUUAGACGGUCCCCAUUUGUGCGCCUCUGCCUCUCGCAGCCGUCGUCUCUCCCUUCUCUUGCCGCCCCCAUCCUGCGACGCUGUUAGUUAAAUUUAAUUGUGAUAAGCACUCAUUCAUUUUUUAUUUUUGAAAUAGCUGGACAGAGGCUUGCAAUCUGUUCAUUUUGCUUACACCUUUUUCUUCCUAAAAAUUUUAGUAUAGAAUGUUGGUGCUACCUUGAUUAUCUGUCAAUGGGAGUUUGAUGAUGAGGUAAAUCAUUUAUUAAUGCACAAGAAAUUGCUUGCUGUUAAA